AUUGAACGCUGGCGGCAGGCCUAACACAUGCAAGUUGAGCGGAUGACGGGAGCUUGCUCCUGGAUUCAGCGGCGGACGGGUGAGUAAUGCCUAGGAAUCUGCCUGGUAGUGGGGGACAACGUUUCGAAAGGAACGCUAAUACCGCAUACGUCCUACGGGAGAAAGCAGGGGACCUUCGGGCCUUGCGCUAUCAGAUGAGCCUAGGUCGGAUUAGCUAGUUGGUGAGGUAAUGGCUCACCAAGGCGACGAUCCGUAACUGGUCUGAGAGGAUGAUCAGGCACACUGGAACGGAGACACGGUCCAGACUCCUACGGGAGGCAGCAGUGGGGAAUAUUGGACAAUGGGCGAAAGCCUGAUCCAGCCAUGCCGCGUGUGUGAAGAAGGUCUUCGGAUUGUAAAGCACUUUAAGUUGGGAGGAAGGGUUGUAGAUUAAUACUCUGCAAUUUUGACGUUACCGACAGAAUAAGCACCGGCUAACUCUGUGCCAGCCGCCGCCGUAAUAC
rnacentral:rRNA from 1 species